rfam:Leeuwenhoekiella blandensis MED217 scf_1099517004314 genomic scaffold, whole genome shotgun sequence.
UAUCUUUGCCGGCUCAACGAGAUAGCCUCGUUGAAUACAUAAAAACUAUUUAAAUAAUAUUGGCAUG